CAGGACCCUGAGAUCAUGACCCAAGCCGAAGGCCGACGCUUAACGACUCAGCCACGCAGGCGCCCCGCGUCGUUACGUCUUUAAAAGGGAAAGAAACUGAGGUUCGGAGAGGUUUAUUGCCUAAAACAGCCAGGAAUUGAACACAGGUGCCUGGCAGGAUUAUUCUGUCCUGCACCCUUAUAGACAGGCAUGACCACAUGCCCUGCUUUGGCCAACACAACGUGAGCAGAAGUGACACAUACCUCUUCCAGGAAGAGAAGUCUUUGGAGUUAGUGAUUAUUUGCUGAGGUCUUCCCUCCCCACACUAGCCCCCAUACUCAAUAUCAUUCCGCUUGGGGAAUCUCCCUCAACCUGGGUCCCUGAGCAAAAAUCAUUUGCACAGAGCCAAUCCUCCAAACUGCCCAAACUGCAAUGGUCAUAUGACAUAAACAAGAAGGAAAUCUGUUGUUUUAAGCCAUUGAGGUUUUGUGAUGGUUUGUUGCCAUAGCAUUACCAGGCCUUUCUUGCCAGUUACAGAUAAGUUUCUAGAUUUUCCAGUGUUUUAGCAGACACUCAAAACUGGAUUAACACUGUUCUUUUUUAACAUUUUAUUAACGGUAUAAAAGUGUUUGGU